rnacentral:rRNA from 1 species
UACGUAGGGUGCGAGCGUUACUCGGAAUUACUGGGCGUAGAGCGUGCGCAGGCGGUUUUGUAAGCCAGAUGUGAAAUCCCCGGGCUCAACCUGGGAAUGGCAUUUGGGACUGCAAGGCUGGAGUACGGCAGAGGAGACUGGAAUUCCUGGUGUAGCAGUGAAAUGCGUAGAUAUCAGGAGGAAUACCGAUGGCGAAGGCAGGUCUCUGGGCUGAUACUGACGCUCAUGCACGAAAGCGUGGGGAGCAAACAGG